UACGUAGGGGGCAAGCGUUGUCCGGAAUUACUGGGCGUAAAGGGCGCGUAGGCGGUCAGCACAAGUCAGUUGUGAAAUCUCCGGGCUUAACUCGGAAAGGUCAACUGAUACUGUGCGACUAGAGUGCAGAAGGGGCAACUGGAAUUCUCGGUGUAGCGGUGAAAUGCGUAGAUAUCGAGAGGAACACCUGCGGCGAAGGCGGGUUGCUGGGCUGACACUGACGCUGAGGCGCGAAAGCCAGGGGAGCGAACGGG
rnacentral:rRNA from 1 species